GGGACAGUGGAGACAGAUAGCCUUCCCUCUCAGUGAGGAGGGCAGGGUAAGGAGGGAACGAUUAGGAGUUGCACAACCAUCUGGGCUCGCUGAGACCUGGGCAGGCACAGGCCCAGGUUCUGACAAGCAGAGGGUGAAAGGUUUCGUUCUAGGCCUGAAGGGCCUUACAGGGCAGCCAGGGCACUACAGCCUCUAAAGUCCCAGCAUCUGGGAUCAGGGCACUGUCCCAGCUUCAAAUUCCCAGCAUCUGAUCCCCUGGGAGGGGCCAGGGAGCUUUUCCUUCCCUGGAACGCUGCUGGGAGGUCAUGAGCCU
rnacentral:lncRNA from 1 species